CGCUCAUGCAUGGAGCCAUGCAACGUCCCCAUGAGAUCCGGCCUCCACUCCUCAACUCCGUGCGCACGCACGAUCUGCAUGUACAACCGCAUCCACGACGCGUCCGACGUGUAUGAUACGGCCUGCUCCAACGGAUCGCAGCGGCCCUUCGCUAGUCACGCCACCAAUCUAGCUACAGCCACGAGUGUGACUUACACACACGUCACACGUACACACACCGUCAUGACCCAGCCCGCGGAUCCGACCUGACGCACCGACGUCGGUCGCACCGUCACGGACCCGACCUGGCGCACUGACGCCGGUCGCACCGUGCUCCGUCACGACUUAUUU
rnacentral:lncRNA from 1 species